AAGUCAUGCCUUUCAUGUCAGGCCUUGCAGCCAGCUGGUCCCUGAAGCCCCUGGGACCCCAUGGUGUCACCCAAGCCUUAUGUGCUGUUCUCUUAGCAGUGCUGGUCACGAUGAACGUGGUUCUGGAUCUUCUUGACAUCCCCUCCCAGUCACCUCCACUAAACCAGUACCUGCAUUGCUACCGAUGUCUCCUGGAGACAGAAGAGUUGGGCUGCCUUCUGGGGUCUGACACUUGCCUCACACCUCUGGGCAGCACCUGCGUCACCCUGCACAUAAAGAACAGCAGCGGUUUUAAUGUCAUGGUGAGCGACUGCCGCAACAAGGAGCAGAUGGUGGAUUGCUCCUAUACUCGGGCUUCCCCUGUGUUCGGCUUUUGGAUAUUCUAUCAGUGCUGCUUCCUGGACUUCUGCAACAACCCGAAGAACAGAAAGAACACUAUGCACUAGGACAGCAGGAACCAGCCGCGUCCGUCCAGCCGCCCUCCGGAUUUCCAUCUGAGCCCUUCCGGGGACGACUCCAAAACCCUCACAGUAGCCCUCCCUGACUCUCGUAUCCUCGGCCUCACGCUGGCCUCCCCUCUCUGUCCCUACCCACAAUGCUCUCCUACCUUCAUUUUGUCCAGCCCCCUCUUUUGUCCAAAGUACCCAGGCGUUCCCCCAAAAUAAAACAGUAUGCAAAGU
rnacentral:lncRNA from 1 species